rnacentral:rRNA from 1 species
ACACGCAUGACACACUGCAUAUCAAUAAGCGGAGGAAAAGAAACUAACAAGGAUUCCCUUAGUAACGGCGAGUGAAGCGGGAAGAGCUCAAAUUUGAAAUCUUCAAGGUUUUACCUUGACGAAUUGUAGUUUAAAGAAGUGUUUUCUGUUGGAGUUUUGGUAAAAGUUCUUUGGAAUAGGACAUCAUAGAGGGUGAGAAUCCCGUAUUUGACCAUUAUUUCCAGCUGUGUGAUACACUUUCAAAGAGUCGGAUUGUUUGGGAAUGCAGUCCAAAAUGGGUGGUAAAUUUCAUCUAAAGCUAAAUAUUGGCGAGAGACCGAUAGCGAACAAGUACCGUGAGGGAAAGAUGAAAAGAACUUUGUAGAGAGAGUUAAACAGUACGUGAAAUUGUCAAAAGGGAAGCGUUUGACACCAGUGUUGUUUUCUCGAAAAUCAAUUAAAAAUGAUGGGAUUUUGUGUUGUAUUGACUUUAUCAGCUUUCUGCACUUUUUUCUUAUCUUUUUUAAUGCACUUUUCGUUUAACAAGUCAACAUCAAUUUCUUUUGUUGUAAAAGAGUCAUUGGAAGGUGGCUUUUUCUUCGGAAAAAGUGUUUAUAGCCUUUGGCUUCUGCAAUCGGAGAGAUUGAGGUCUGCAGCGUAGAUCCUUCGGGGUUAGAUACAUUUGUGCUAAGCUAUAGUUCUUUAUAGACAACUUGUUGACUAUAAUCAAUCCUGUAACUUACUCGCUUAUGCUAUUUUACCUACGCUUAGGAUGUUGACUGAUAUGUAGUCGU